CAAGUCGAGCGGGCUUAUUCGGGUAACUGGAUAAGUUAGCGGCGAACUGGUGAGUAACACGUAGGUAAUCUGCCGUAGAGUGGGGGAUAACCCAUGGAAACAUGGACUAAUACCGCAUAUACUCUUGACGCUAAAGCGUAGUAGAGGAAAGGAGCAAUCCGCUUUACGAUGAGCCUGCGGCCUAUUAGCCU
rnacentral:rRNA from 1 species